UACAGAGGGUGCGAGCGUUAAUCGGAAUUACUGGGCGUAAAGCGUGCGUAGACGGCUAUCUAAGUCGGGUGUGAAAGCCCCGGGCUCAACCUGGGAAUUGCAUUCAAGACUGAAUAGCUAUGGUACGGUAGAGGGAAGCGGAAUUUCCGGUGUAGCGGUGAAAUGCGUAGAUAUCGGAAGGAACAUCAGUGGCGAAAGCGGCUUCCUGGACCAGUACCGACGUUCAGGCACGAAAGCGUGGGGAGCAAAACGG
rnacentral:rRNA from 1 species